UGGGGAAUAUUGGACAAUGGGCGGAAGCCUGAUCCAGCCAUGCCGCGUGUGUGAAGAAGGCCUUUUGGUUGUAAAGCACUUUAAGCGAGGAGGAGGCUACUUGGAUUAAUACUCUAGGAUAGUGGACGUUACUCGCAGAAUAAGCACCGGCUAACUCUGUGCCAGCAGCCGCGGUAAUACAGAGGGUGCGAGCGUUAAUCGGAUUUACUGGGCGUAAAGCGUGCGUAGGCGGCUUCUUAAGUCGGAUGUGAAAUCCCUGAGCUUAACUUAGGAAUUGCAUUCGAUACUGGGAAGCUAGAGUAUGGGAGAGGAUGGUAGAAUUCCCGGUGUAGCGGUGAAAUGCGUAGAGAUCUGGAGGAAUACCGAUGGCGAAGGCAGCCAUCUGGCCUAAUACUGACGCUGAGGUACGAAAGCAUGGGGAGCAAACAGG
rnacentral:rRNA from 1 species